rnacentral:lncRNA from 1 species
GUCCAUGUCCCCGAUAAGCAUCGCAGCCCUACCUUCCUUACUCGACAACCGAGACAGCCCAGCAACAAACAAACUCAUUAUAUUCCUCAUAUCCGCAACCAUCUCCGGAGCAUAGCGGGAUAGUUGGGUGAACUUCAAACUAUACUCAUGAACACUCAGGGACUCCUGCUUAAGUGUAAGGAACUCACGUACCUUGGCCUCUCUCAAUUCUCGAGGAAAGAAAUGCCCCAAGAAAGCUUCCUCAAAACAGGCCCAACUCGCAGG